AUGGCCGAACCGUCGCCGGGCGGCCACUCGACCCUCGGCGCCGAGAGGGCGGCGGUGCUCCUCGUGAAGAAGAUGCUGGCGGAGCUGCUGGGGACGUUCCUGCUCCUCUUCGUCCUGCUGUCGGCGCUGAUCAUGAACGCGACCCACGACGGCGCCCUGGGCCUGCUGGGCGUGGCGGCGACGGCGGGGCUGGCCGUGACGGUGCUCGUGGCGUCGCUGGUCCACAUCUCCGGGGCCCACCUGAACCCGGCGAUAAGCGUCUCCAUGGCCGUGUACGGCUACCUCCCGCGCGCCCACCUCGCGCCCUACAUGGCCGCGCAGUUCCUAGGCGCCAUCGCCGCGUCCUUCGUGGCCAAGGCGGUCUACCACCCGGCGAACCCCGGCGCCAUUGUGGCCACCGUGCCCACGCUCGGCACCGCGGGGACAUUCUUGGUCGAGUUCCUCACCACCUUUGUCCUCCUCUUCGUAAUCGUCGCCCACGCCACCGAUCCCAAGGCGGUGAAGGAGCUGAUAGCAGUGGCAGCCGGGGCAGCAAUCAUGAUGAACGCCCUUAUCUCUGCGGAGUCAACGGGAGCGUCCAUGAAUCCGGCGAGGACGCUGGGGACGGCCAUCGCCACCGGGACGUACACCAAGAUCUGGGUCUACAUGGUGGCGCCGCCGCUCGGAGCCAUCGCCGGGACCGGGGCUUACAUUGCGCUCAAGCACUGA
rnacentral:rRNA from 1 species